AGCGAACGCUGGCGGCAGGCCUAACACAUGCAAGUCGAACGAACCCUUCGGGGUUAGUGGCGGACGGGUGAGUAACACGUGGGAACGUGCCUUUAGGUUCGGAAUAACUCAGGGAAACUUGUGCUAAUACCGAAUGUGCCCUUCGGGGGAAAGAUUUAUCGCCUUUAGAGCGGCCCGCGUCUGAUUAGGUAGUUGGUGAGGUAAUGGCUCACCAAGGCUACGAUCAGUAGCUGGUCUGAGAGGAUGACCAGCAACAUUGGGACGGAGACACGGCCCAAACGCCUACGGGAGGCAGCAGUGGGGAAUCUUGCGCAAUGGGCGAAAGCCUGACGCAGCCAUGCCGCGUGGAUGAUGAAGGUCUUAGGAUUGUAAAAUCCUUUCACCGGUGAAGAUAAUGACUGUAGCCGGAGAAGAAGCCCCGGCUAACUUCGUGCCAGCCGCCGCCGUAAGAC
rnacentral:rRNA from 1 species